rnacentral:misc_RNA from 1 species
GGAUUUUUGAUUUGUUCUGCAUUGCCAGAAUUACCUAGGAAAGUUACUUGGUAAUACAACAUUCUUGUGUUUGGUUUGUGCAUUGAUGUUACACUUUUGAUCUGUGUUCCUAAACAUGUAGAUUCUACCAUUUUGUUUCAAUAUACAUGUAAAUGUGAUUUCCAACGUUAAGGGUGGGAAUCAAGGACGAAUCUAUAAUUGAAACUUUGGAGGGGCAAAAUAUAUAAUUAAAACACUUUUAUUUGUAGCUAAACAAUAUAGAAUCAUCAAGUAGAAUUAAAAAAUUUAUACAAAAAAUUAUUAGAAGUCAAGAAAAUAGUAAUAUAUGCUUAGUAAAC